UUCGAUUGAUUGUGGUAGAGUUGCUACUACUUCGAUUACUGUUGUUGUUGUAUCCUGGGAGACUUUCAACCAACGUUACUCCAAGUACUGUAGGAGCGGCCGAAUCUAUCUUAAGAAAACCGUGUUUCACGGGCCUCAACGUUUCGUAAAAUCUCAAUUCUCCUUUGUUUCAAUUGUUUAUUAUGAUUUUAUUUAAUUUUCAUAUUUGAUAAAUUAACUAUAAAUAACUCUGUUCAUAUUUUAUUUUAUAUGUGUUUAUUUAUAAUUAAUUAUUUUUGUUCGUUAAUAUAUUUUGUCCAACCGUGCAAAUUAAUAAAUUUCUCUUUUUUGCAACUUUCCUAUCUCGACGAGUUGUUACUCUAAGGAUUGUUCUUAUUGUUGAUGUUCUUUGUUGAAAUCUACACGACUCAAAUUAAAGCUCAAGUUGAUGAAGAGGUAUUUGGAGUAGUGAAAGUUACAAUAUGAGGCGGCAAACAUUACCUAACACAAUCUUGGGCGGUGGAUUCAUUUACGUGACGUUUGGAAAAGAAAAAUUGUCAUUAGUGCAUGAAAUGUUGAACUCAUGGUUAUCUACUUACACAAACAGUGCCUGCCCCAGAAUCUUGGACGGUGGAUUGUGGGAACAUUUCCAACCUCUUAAGCAAGUCUCAGGACAGGGAUUUUGACGUCGGCUCACAACCAAUUAGGAGCCGAAUUCUAUGACCAAAAAAUCUCAUUGUCUCACUAUCUCCACAAAUUUGUCUUUUUCAACCAUGUCUUCAAUCUGAGCCAUAAGUUUAUGAUUUUUAUAUACCUACCUUUUUUUUAUUUUCAAUCUCAGCCCUGAAUUAUGGUUUGGUAGGGUAAGGGCAAAAUGAUUUUUUAACAUGCUUUGGAAGUGACUUAAAAGAAGGAUGAUUAUUGUAAUAUUGUCAAGUUUCUUUAUUGAUAAUAAG
rnacentral:lncRNA from 1 species